GGCGCCGUUCGGUGGGUCGCGGAGGCCGACUUUCCGGUCGGCUUGCGUAUUUCCCUUAGAGAGCGAAGGCGCGUCAGAUGCCCGGCAAGCGGAGUGGUGACUAUGAGGACCCACAGAAGGUUAAACGGCCUCGCGGGCGGCCUCCCGGCCCCAAAGCCGGGCUGUCGGCUGCGGCGAGGGCGGCGGUGGUGGAGGCCGCCGCGGCUUGGGCAGCGGCCGAGGCCACCCCAGGCGGCGCGGAGGCCAUGGGCAUCCUGCUCCCGGGCCAGACAGGAAUCAAGAGGAGGCGGAGGGUCAUGCCUCUGGAAGACAAGAUGAAAAUUCUCGAGAAGCUGGAAGAAGGCGUGAGUAACACCGACGUGGGGCGCCUGUUUGGCGUCCACGAGUCAACCGUGCGCACCAUUAAGAAAAACGAGAAGGCCAUCAGGGCCAGCAUGGAGAGUGUUUCGCCUGUCUGCUCCAAGGUGUUGUGCAUUCCCCGGGACGUCAACAUCGAGAAGAUGGAAACCGAGUUAACCUUUUGGGUGGAGGACCAGACCAUAGGGGGCCGGCCUCUGACGCUGAAGGCCAUCUGCAGCCAGGCCAAACGCAUUUACAAGCAGCUGGUGGAAACCACUGGCAACGGCAACCCGGAUAAGUUUCAUGCGAGCAAGGGAUGGUUUGAGAAGUUUAGAAAUCGCUACAGCCUGCGAAAUUCGAGGUUGAUGGGAGAGGAAGAACCGUUAAAUGCCCAGUCGGCGCCCAAGUAUUCCAAACAACUCCAGAGACUGAUCAGGGCCAGGGGCUAUGUGCCUCAACAGGUCUUCAACGCCGAGGAGAUGAGCCUGUUUUGGAAGUGCAUGCCCUCACGUACUUUUAGGGAAAAAGACAAAAAUCCCGAAAGCUUAGAGGAAGCCAAGGACAGGAUUUCCCUCAUUUUUUGUGCCAACGCUGCCGGUGACAAAAUGAUAAAACCCUUGCUGCUUUAUAAAGACCCUAAUCCCACUUGUCUUUUGGAAAAAGAUAAAAACCGCCUUCCUGUGUUCUGGCGAUCACACCCCAAAGUAUCACUAACCACUGCCCUCUUUUUGGAUUGGUUUCAUAAUUGUUUUAUCCAUCAGGCCCGGACUUACUUAAUAGAAAAAAAUCUUGAGUUCAGAGUGUUGCUAAUUCUGGACAGAGGUCCCAAUCACCCAGACUCAUUAUUCUUUGCUCAUCCUAACGUUGAUAUUGUGUUCCUCCCUCUGGAAGGCACUAGCUAUCUUCAGCCCUUGGAUCAGGGUAUAAUUGAAGCAUUCAGGAGGUAUUACACCAAGCAUAUGUUUGACCACUUUGCUGACUGUAUUGAAAAGAACCCUUGUCUUACUUUAAAAGAAACAUGGCAACAGUACAACAUUGCCGAUGCGUUGGUAGUGAUAAAAGAGGCAAUGGAUGAUAUAAAACCGGCCGCUCUUAAUAAAGCCUGGUGGAAACUUUGGGAUGAUGUUGUGAAUGAUUAUGCAUGUUUCCCUAGAGCUAACGAAGAAGUUGCGAAAAUCAUAGAGUCUGCAAAACGGAUGGACUUUAAAUUCUUUGACAUUGAAGAGGGUGAAAUUAACGAACUGCUCAAGUUUCAAGCUUUGGCCAUAACUGAGAGAGAGUCUGUAUCAGUAAAUACGGAAGAAGACAAGUCCCCAGAACCAGAGGUUAAGAUGAAUCUAAGGAAACUGAAUGCUGUCUUACGUCAGGCUUCAGACCUCAUCGAUGCUGCAAUUGAUAUGGAUCCGUUCCUCGACCGAAGUUUGGCCUUUAAAAAAGACUUAAAUAAAUUGUUAUAUACCUAUAAAGAGGUGCAAAAGAACCUUCAGAAUAAAGCAAAGGAGUUGAAGGAAGAAAAAGACACGAACAAAGAGGUAGUGUGGAUGAAGACGAUGGAUACAGAAUCGGAAUCUGAAGAGGAGUCUGAAUCUGAAUCCGAGUCGAAAUCCGAAUCCGAGUCGAAAUCCGAAUCUGAAUCCCAUAAAGAGGAGAAAGUAGAGAGAAAGAAAGAGGAUAAGAAGCCUCCAGAAGAAGAUCCUGGAUCCUCAGGCAGUGGCACUGAGACUCUCACUAUAUCUGAAGAAUCUGCCAAAGCCAUAAAUGCAGAAUUGGACUUUUGGAAUCUAACCUUGGAACUGAAUCUGGAGAGAGUAGACGUGCCUGAACUAAAGGAAGAAGAGAAUCCAGAGGCAUUUCUUUCCAAAUGACAGUUCAUCUCUUGCCAUUCUUCCCCUGUUGCCCCAACAUCUACCUUCAUCAUGACCAUCCUUAUCAUCACCAGCCACACAUCCAUAUCAUUUAGUCAUUCAACAAACAGUAAUUGAGUAUAAGCUCUGUGGGGUCCUGUGCUAAACUUGGGGACAUCAUCUCAGGAAAUCAUCUCAGGAUCUAAGAUCCUGACAACUGCUUUCCUGUCAUACCCCAUGCUCAGGACCCUUAGCCUGCAGCUCCGUUCAGCUGUCGCUGGCAGCUAUGUCUCCGGCACUUACUCCAUCGUCUUUGUCAACUGUCCCAAUGAGCAAAUUGCUAGAGAUAUCGCCAGGUACUUUUGGAAUGGAGAAAUCGAAGAAGCCACUGAGAUCCUGUUGGUUGGUGCAUCCUUUUGAAAUCCCAGAAGUCUUCAGUCUUCCCAUGGACCAAGGAGACGUCCACUAUUUCAAGUGGCUGGAGGAGGGCGUGGAGGAGGACUGAGGGCGGCGGGGCUUUUGUGUCUCCUGAUGGCUGCCUCUAGCCUGCAGCAGCUGCGCUCUGGGGAAGGGGGGCCGCUCUCUGCUUCCUAGAGCCCCUGGAUUCUGUGUUUUUGUCAGCAUGGAAGAACUGGGACUUGAGCUGAAGGUCUGAGCCCCUGAAGCUGGAAGAACCCAGUGGAAUUUGUCUCAAGUGCUUCAGGCUUAAAGGUGGCCAGGGGCGGGUGGGAAGGCAAGCACAGCUAUGUGGGGAGGCCAAGGGGAGGUGGCGCUCAGGGUGAGGUUUGUCGUCUGCUCCUUCCGUCACUGGGCCUACCUAAGUGUCCAGGAUGCAUGGACUCUCCUGCUUCUCAGGAGGAGAAGCCUGGUGACCUGUUCACCUGAAGUGUGUGGGAGGAGUGUCGCCUUCUAGGGGAACUGGCAAGCGCUUUAGCCAAAAGGAUGAAUUGCUAAUGGUAGAAAUUCAGGGACAAGCAGGAUUAUUUCUUGCAACUAAAGAUGCUCUUUGUUAUUCCUGAGUCCCGAGGGGCUUCAUGAGUGUGGGUAGGACUGGGGAAUAUUAGGUAUUAGACACAGCCCCACGGCUUAGAAGCAGGUCUAGACUCCCCCAUAGCCUGAAUGUGACAGGUAUCUGAAGGUUCUGGUACCUUGCUCUUUGGAGACAUAGAUUCUGAGCCCACGGUACUAACCUUGUCACAUGAGUGUUGAAACUGAGCAUCCUAAAGUGGAAGGCCCGCUGGGGACCUGCCUGACCAGUGUUUUCCAGACUUGUUCCCUUGGGCCUUAGGGGUUGGUGGAAGGUAUCCUGGGUGCUUCCUGGGUGGGGGCAAGGGUAUGAGGCUCCCCACCCGUACCUCAACCUCCUCACCCAUACCUCAACUACCUUUCAUCGUUUUUAUAUAUUAAGCCCCCUUGUAAGAUUUUUGUUUUUUGUUUUUGUUUAAAUUUUCUUGGUUAACAGCUAGUAAACCAGUGGUCUAAACCAGUCUCCCAUUUUAUAGAUUACCAAAGGGAAUUGGAACUGCACUGAGGUCCAGCAAGGGGCUGGCGUGUUGCGUUAAGGAUGGUAAGAUCAAGACUGCUCACCCCGUGUCUGGUACUUCUCUGCCUGCUCCUGGGUCUCAGGUGGAAGAGGGCAGAGAAGGCAGGGCCUGUUGGGGUGAGAAGAAAGACUUGAGCUAAGCCUCCUCCAUGAAUCUGUCAACAAGGUAACCUCGCUCUGGGGAGACGCAGGGGCAGUUUGGAUGGGAGUCCACAGACCUCUGUGGAAUCCUGGAUCUUCCCAGAGGGAAGGGUAUUUAUUGCCAGGCUGUAGUUCUGACUUGUGCUGUACUUCUUAAACCUAAGUUCCUCCAAAUACAAAAUGGAGGCCCUCCCAGGGCCCUUCUGUGAAGCCCUUAUUGGGACUUAAGGCUGAUGCUAUUCCAAAGAUCCAGAGGAUCCUUUUUUGAUAGCCAGUGGGGAUUUUGGAGCUGCCUAAGGAGGACAGAGAAUGAUAAUGGUGAUGUCCAUUUUUACAACAGAUGUUUCUGAUACACGGGAAAAUCUUAAACCUUAGUGAAAAUGCUUUGGGGGCCACAGAGGGAUUGCCUCUCUUGCUUUCGGGUUAGAGCCCAGAUUCCUGGUCUGGCCUUCAAGGCCCUUCAUAGUCUUGCCUCACCUCACUUUUUCCAACUUCACCUUCCACUUCUCCGUGCCCACGCUGGCAAGGAGAUGGCUCCAAUGUGCUGUGUGAAGUGAUUCCUGUGUUCAGGCCUCCCCUCAACCCGGAGUGCCUCCUGCAUGAAUGCCUGGGAAAUCUGGCUGCUCCUUGUGAGGCCGGCUCCCCCGCUUGGAAGGAAGCUCUCCGGCCUCGGUGUCCCCGUUACCCUCGUGUAUCAUAGUCAGCCUCCUGUUUCUAGAUCGUGAGCUGCUCAAGGUCAAGGGCAUGUCUCGAUCUAUUUGAUCUCUUGCACAGGAUUUGGCUAGUAUGUCCCAAAUGGAUGUUUCAAGGAUUUGAAUAAAGCUUUCUCUGUAGCCCACAGCUACUAAUUUAUGGAAUUGGCAAAACCCAGCAUUUUUUCUUUGAACUUCCUUAAAGUGGGACUAAUUCCAAAGGAGAUUUUUCUAUUUCUGGCCUUCACCGGGCCAUUUUCUGUGCUAUGCACAGAAAACUGCUUCUCGGUGAACUUCCUCUGCCUCAGUGUCACAGCUGGCUACAGGAAAUGGGAGAGGAGAGGACAAAUGUCCGCUCUCUGCCUAGUGCUCUCCUAGAUUCUCCUCAUUAUUUUAUCCUUCUAAUUCAGUGUUCUCAGCUGGUAACUGACUUUUGAGAUCAGAGAGCAUGACACUUAAAAUACUUGGCUGAGCUAGGCUGUGAACCCACGUGUCCAAUUCUUGAUCUGACGCUCUUACGGUCUCCUUCAGAGAGGUUGGACAUAUCCCUUUAUAGGCCAAACAACUAGAGAGCCUACUGUAGCCAACUCUAAAUGAAGGGUUAUUGGGUCCAAAAACAUUCAUGCAGUAAGUUGGUCUGGCACUUAAAAAUAUAUGGUAUUGUUUCCUUCUCCCCACAGAUCUGGAGGCUGGUGACAGGAUCUAAUUCUGUAGAUGAGGGAACAGAUCUAGGGGAGUUCAGUGAUUUUUCCCAUCUGCGUGACUCCCAGCUUACUUACCCUAGACCACACUGUCCCCGCAGAGUGCUGCUGUGGGCUGGGCUCGGCCCUAGACUAGCAGCUUCAUACAGGAAUGCCUUCCCAGCAUUUCUCAGGAAAAGUCUGUUUUGAAUCCAGACUCUCCAGAAAAAAUCACUUGAGAAAAUGAGAAAAAAAUAUUAAAAUUAUCUGUGAAUACUAAAGCUUUAAAGCAUAGAGAUGUUAACUGGCUUGAAGAAAUCAUCAGAUUAAAAAUAAAGAGCAGGAAACACCAGCGUGCAGAGUUGAGGGAGAAAGGAACCAGGAUGGGAGCGCAGGGGAGAAAUGAGUCAGUCUUGGGUUGUUGCUGUGUCCCAGGUGUGUCUGUCUAGCUGUGUCUGCUGCAAACUGUGAGUUAUUUUUGCAUAUAACUUUAUGCACAUAGUAUACUUUAAACAAAUUCUGUGAGCUUUGUUUGAAGACACUAACUUUGGAAGCAAAAUAAAUUUUAACUGAGCAAUUUUGA